CAAUGUUAAGCCAAAAUGACGCAAAAAAAAAAUCAUAACUUUCUAACUAUUAAACAUACAGUCAUAAUUUAAACAGCAUUGGAAAGUUCUUUAAAAUCAUUUUAAUGAUGUACUAACGAAAAUUUUUUUCAAAGAUCAAUUUUUUAUUUCACCUCCCUACUAGAUCUAUGUUAGAUACUUCGAUUUUCCGGUCGCGCGAGAUUUUUUUUGGUUACCGGAACCGGUAGUAUUCGUGCGGCAGUAUUUAAGCCGAAAGCAGUGGUGAUUUCGUUUCAGUCUGGUUUUGUCUUCAAAAUCAGACACAAAAGGAUAAUCGGAGCCCUUUGUUUGUUCAAGGAUCGGAUAUCAGUUAAUUCUUUGGAUUUAUAUCAGUGCUUUUCUAUCGUCUUCAUGGAGUUCCAGCGUGUUGAGCAUAGGGGUAAGUUGACCAUCCAUAGUUUUUUUAUUAUUCUGAAAAGCAUAGUUAUUUAAGUAAAUCCGUGUACCUUAAUAUCUAAUCUAACUAUUUUCGUUCAUAUUAUCGCAAUAAGUGUUCCACUUUUUUAGUAAAAAGUGACCCAGUGCAUCAAGUAUCUUGGCUAGAAAACGAAACUAGCCGCCAUUACUAACCGGAAAUGAUAGAUUCAAUGGUUAUCAAUGGCUGCAUAGCUUUUUUGUUAGAUCAAUUUUUUUUAAAUCCAUCAUCUAGAACACUUUUAUUUAAUCAUCCGUGAUUUUGAAUGUUAUUUUUUAAACUUUUAGAAUGAUUUUAACCUAGUUCAAUUGAUAUUUUUUGUUUUUAGUUAAAUUUAAGUGAUAAUUCUUGCAAUAGCUGAUAAUGUGGGCGUGGCAGGCCUUGAUGUCGAUGUUGUUGACAAUAAGUUUCGAAGGCAUAUGACUGAUGUGAAGAACUUUUGCAGGAAGAUUACCCGCAGCUGGCUUCUAGUUGUACCCUACUUGGAUAAAAAAAUUUCUAUCGAUGCUGCUGGCAAAAAGACACCUAUCCAAGUCCCACGACAGAAUUGAACGACCUAGUAUGGUGAAGAAGUUGCGACCUGAAGGUGAUGUUGAGGCUACUGAAAGGCCAGGUAACACAGAACAACACUGUGCUUGUUGUUGCAGAAAAGCGGUUAGUCUUUUAAGGUAAUAACUUUUACAUUUUCUUUCGUAAAUUCAUCUAUAUAGUUUCAAAACAAUUCCUUUUUAGGUGUCUCAACCCUUUUGACAUUUAUUAUAUUUAUUAACAGGGCUUUUUGGCAAGAUGUUGACUGGACCGUGGAUGACACUGAUCUACAAAAUGAAAGAUGAAACAUUUUAAAGAUACCAUUUAUGCAGCUAUUAUAUUUAUUCUCUUGUUUUCUAGAUCUCUCAUGUGAAGGUCUGCAUUGACAAACUAAAGCCACUAAAGGCCAUUGUGGAUUCUCCAGAGAAUCUCCUUUCAAUACUAACUGAUUGCUUUGGCCAGACUGUGGAUACUGAAGAUCUCGUUCUGAAAACCCUGAGAAAUGUGACUGUUGAUGAAGUAUUUAUCGAGAUCACUAAAAAACUUGCUGAAGGUUUUUGUAAGGUGCUACAGAGACAGUACUUCAAUUGAUAAUUUCCAACAACAAACAAAUCCAUUAUGUGCUUAGCCAUCAAAUAGUUAGAUAUAUUUUAUUUUAAGGGAACAUGUUGCAUAUCUGGGAUGUUAUUUAUUUAAUGUGAAAAAUAUAAUUUCACAAUACAGCUGAUAAUUGUGCUAUGAACCAUUUAUAUUAAGUCUUGAUAAUUUUACCUUUUCAGCAAGCCUACAUUGGUAUGCAUUAAAAGUAUUUAUUCUAUUUCAGCAAAACAGAUAGGGUACACCCAAACAAUGUUCAUCUUCAAACAAUCAUGCAUGAUCCUCGCAAGCUUUGGAUACUGACGUACAUUUGCAAACGCACUCAGACUGAUGACAUCAAGAAAUCUAUAUUUGUUAUUUACAUUAUAUGUAAAUUUAAAUACUCUUUUUUUUUUUAAUUUUGUAAAUCUUGUAUAAUUAUCUCAAAAGUCUAGAUUAAAAUGUUACAGCUCUCAAAGUA